rnacentral:miRNA from 1 species
GAGAGGAUGAGAGGGGAGGAUGGGAGGGAGAAGUAACAAAAGUGAAAACAAUUUCAAAUAGAUUUCGGUUUUUUUGUUCUUGUUUUCACUUUUGUUACUCCUCCCUCACAGCCUCCUCUCUCAUCUUCCCU